CCUACGGGCGGCAGCAGUGAGGAAUAUUGGUCAAUGGGCGGAAGCCUGAACCAGCCAAGUAGCGUGCAGGAUGACGGCCCUACGGGUUGUACACUGCUUUUAUACGGGAAUAACGCGCCUUACGUGUAGGGCUUUGCAUGUACCGUAUGAAUAAGGACCGGCUAAUUCCGUGCCAGCAGCCGCGGUAAUACGGAGGGUCCGGGCGUUAUCCGGAUUUAUUGGGGUUAAAGGGAGCGUAGGCCGCAUGUCAAGCGUGCUGUGAAAUGUCCGGGCUCAACCCGGGCCUUGGAGCGCGUAAUGGCUUGGUUGAGUCCGCGGAAAGCAGGCGGAAUUCGUCGUGUAGCGGUGACAUGCUGAGAUAUGACGAAGAACCCCGAUUGCGAAGGCAGCUUGCUGCAGCGGAACUGACGCUGAUGCGCGAAAGCGCGGGUAUCGAACAGGAUUAGAUACCCUUGUAGUC
rnacentral:rRNA from 1 species